rnacentral:rRNA from 1 species
UACGUAGGGCGCAAGCGUUAUCCGGAAUUAUUGGGCGUAAAGAGCUCGUAGGCGGUUUGUCGCGUCUGCCGUGAAAGUCCGGAGCUCAACUCCGGAUCUGCGGUGGGUACGGGCAGACUAGAGUGAUGUAGGGGAGACUGGAAUUCCUGGUGUAGCGGUGAAAUGCGCAGAUAUCAGGAGGAACACCGAUGGCGAAGGCAGGUCUCUGGGCAUUAACUGACGCUGAGGAGCGAAAGCGUGGGGAGCAAACAGG